rnacentral:rRNA from 1 species
UACACUCCUGCGGGAGGCAGCAGUGGGGAAUAUUGCACAAUGGGCGCAAGCCUGAUGCAGCCAUGCCGCGUGUAUGAAGAAGGCCUUCGGGUUGUAAAGUACUUUCAGCGGGGAGGAAGGCAAUACGGUUAAUAACCGUGUUGAUUGACGUUACCCGCAGAAGAAGCACCGGCUAACUCCGUGCCAGCAGCCGCGGUAAUACGGAGGGUGCAAGCGUUAAUCGGAAUUACUGGGCGUAAAGCGCACGCAGGCGGUCUGUCAAGUCGGAUGUGAAAUCCCCGGGCUCAACCUGGGAACUGCAUUCGAAACUGGCAGGCUUGAGUCUUGUAGAGGGGGGUAGAAUUCCAGGUGUAGCGGUGAAAUGCGUAGAGAUCUGGAGGAAUACCGGUGGCGAAGGCGGCCCCCUGGACAAAGACUGACGCUCAGGUGCGAAAGCGUGGGGAGCAAACAGGAUUAGAUACCCUAGUAGUCCCAUG